rnacentral:lncRNA from 1 species
ACAUGAUGAGCUUUGGCCAAAUCUUUCUUGGCUUAGGAAUUGACAAGGGUGGCUUGCACUUUUCCACAAACGAGAGGCCACAAUUUUUUUUUUUGAUUACAUGAGACUAUUGCUAAGAUUACAACUCAUAUACAUGAGACUAUUACUGAUAUUUACAAAUCAGACUAUUACUGGGACCAACUGACAUCAAUGCUAAUGGAGCUCUGCCCAGAUUUUAACCCUCACAAAUAUUCGAGGGAUGUCUACUCCUUCACUCAAAUUAAUUAUUCGAGGGAUGUCUACUCCUCACUCAUGGGUAAGGGAGAAGACUACCUUCACUCAAAUUAAUUGAAGAAGGAAAUACCCCCACAAUACUUUUGUGGGGGUUCGAACUGUUGCCCUCCAAGUUGGAGGGCAGCAGCCCUGGCCACUCGGGCUACUGCCCG